CCUUUUAAAAUGUUACAAAUAUAGUUUAUAACUUUAUAAGAAUUCAAUCAAACCAAAAUUAACUAAAUAAAAAAAAAAAACAAUAUUUUUGUCUCUUAAGAAUUAAAAAAAGCAUGUAAUAAGUCAUCUUCCAUGUGAUAUCAUCAAAAAAAGCUGCAACGAAUCAAUAAUUAGUAUAUGUUAUAUAUAUACUAUACGAGUAUUUAUCUAUAUUUUUACUAUAACUCUACACCCAUGAUUCCAUAUUGUUCUUUUCACUAACAAAAAUUGAAAACAGAACACGUCUUUGAGAGAAAUACAAUAAUGGUUACACAAAAGCAUGAAACCGUAUAAUAAAUUAUAUUAGUUUCAUGGAAAUCAAAUUAUAUUAGGAUUUUCUUAGUGUAAAAGAAAAUUACGUGGGCUUAAUCUUAAGAUUUUAAUUUACUAAUAUUUUUAAUUUAAAUAACUAUAAAACACUUCGGUUUAUCGGUUCGGUUCGGUUUAAACUGAACUGAACUGAACCGUUCGGGUUGGGAAAAUCUUCAACCGAAUGAUUUGAAAUAAACUUUGAUUUGGUUCGAAUCAGUUUCGGUUCAGUCGGUUCAGUUUGAUCGGUUCGGUUCGAUUUUUUUGCCCACCCCUAAAAAAAAUCCUAAAACAUGGGGAUAAUAAAUCAAUCAAAUUGGUGAAAGUAAAGUAAACAACAAGGCAUAACCAAGAUACGGAUAUACAGAAAAAUAAGUGAAAGGAACAAAUGAGAGAUCUCGUGAUCCAAGAUGAUGAUUUAAUGUCAUUUUUCUGACAUUAUUAGCUUUUGCUUUUAUUUCUGCAUUAAAUCUAUCCCGCACCUAACAGCCUAACAUUUUUGUUUGUUUUUGCACAUUAGUAUAAGACAAAUUCUCAUCUCAAAAUUACAAUUUCUAGCAACGCAUCAUAUCAAAUGCUGCAAGUUCUUUUUUAUUUUUGUGUUUUUUGAAGAUUUUUUUUCUUUUUGAAAAAGUUUUGUUGAAGCUUUUGAAAGUGAUAGUUUUCAUCUUUUUCUUUCUAAAUUGAAAAUUUUCCGCCCCCACCGGCCAAAAGAGGAUACCAAUUAUCAAGAGCGAGAAGAGCAAGAUGUUCCAAACAACAUUAUGACGAGGGGGUAUACACGGAAGAUGUCCAGAAGAAAUAAAAAAUGAUUAAACUAAAAAAAGUAUAUUAAAUUUUGAGAUGGAUUGUGCAAAUUCUUUGAAAAUAACCAAAGAUCUAAUAGACUAAGUUUCUUUGGAUACUUUGGCCAAAAAAAAUAUCUUUUAGCUUGGAAUAAAGAUUUUUAUUUUUAUGAUUUUAUAAUUGAUUUAAAUUUUUUAGUUUAUUUAGAAUUUUGUGUAACUUAAAUGUUUAUACGGAUUCUCUAUUUAUUGAAAUGCACACAAAAUUAUUUAUUAUUUUGAGUUAAUUAUAAUUUGUCGGUAAUAAUUGUUCUCUAGAAAUAGUUCUACAGACUAAACUAAAUUUAAAUUAAAAUAUAAAAUCAUUAUACAACAAAAUUAGGUAUAUAAAAGAGAAAUUUAAAACUAUUUUUUUUCUAAAAAAAAUUCUUAAGCAUAUAAAAUUUAAAGAAAAAGUGGAUCCACCAACUUUAUAUUCACUGAUCUAUACUAUUUAUUUAUGAAGUGAUUUUGCUUAUUUGUCAUGUUUUCCAUGAUUUUAUGUAAUUUUGUUUAUUUGUCAUGUUUUAAAGGUUUAAACUGAGUCAUUAAUUUAUUAAUAAUUUUUUAGCUGAGUUAAUAAUUUAUUAAUUUAAAUAAUAUAACUAUGAAAUUUGUAACUAGAUAUAUAAUUAUUUUGAUAUUGGUUAUGUGUCAUGUUUUCCAUGGUUUUAGUUAGUUUUUCUUAUUUUUCAUAUUUUUAUUAGGUUAUAGCUUUUAAAAAUCACAACUCUUAAAAUAACCUACAUCUGUACAAGUGAUUUGUAGAGCUAAAUAUCCACAUCAAUUUUUGAGCUUUCCAUAAAGUUCUACAGCAAAAUCUGAAGCCACAGCAAAAAGUCUACAUGUUUUUUCUACGGCAAAAAAAUUAAAGCUACAAUCAUUACCAAUCGGACCCUAGAUAUAUAAUUAUUUUGAUUUUGUUUAUUUGUCAUGUUCUCCAUGAUUUUAGUUAAUUUUACUAAUUUGUUAUGUUUUUAUUAGGAUUUAGCUAAAUUAUUAAUUUAUUAUUAUUUUUCUCUAAGUCAUUAAUUUAUCAAUUUAAAUAAUAUAACUAUUUCAAGCUUUGUAAUUAGAUAUAUAAUUGUUAAAUAAAUUUUGUAACUUUGACGAGUUAGAACUAAUUCUUAUUAUUUUGUUUUAAAAUCAUAUUUGUUACUGGUAAUUUUAAAUCAUAUUUGUUACCAGAUGUGGAACAUAAUCUAUUUUUAUUGUACUUUAUAGUUUAAUGAUAUAAAUAAUGUUUAAGUGAUAUUUAUCUUAGUCUAUGUCGUAUUAUAGUUAUAGUAGUAUGUAAAUGCUAAUACAAAGAAUUAUGAUGCCGCCUUUAUCUUAGUACCCACUUUAAUAAUGUAUUAUAAUAAUUUGCCAAUUCUAUGCCAUGAUAGUAAUAUAUUCUCAUCAUACGUUUGAUGGGAAAUACACACAAAACUUCAUCUUUGAAUAAUAUGAAACAUUUUCAAAUGUUGCCUUUUUGAAAAAAAAACCCCAUUUCACUUUUCUUAUUAGAGUUAUUGAGUCGGCUAAAGAUUGCUAUAAAAUUAUAGUAAAAAUGUUGAUACUUUAGAAUCAUGAAAAAAUCAAAAUUUGUUUUAAUUGAAUUGGUGUUGGUUGAUGCCGUUGUAAAUAUAUUAAUUUAUUUUGUUAUUGAUUCACAUUAAUUAUAUGAUUUUUUGUUAGUCACUUAUUUGAAAUUUAAUUUGUAGAGAACUAGGACUCGUGCUUCUAUUGACUUGUCUUUUGGUAAUUUUUGAUAUACAUUAUCUUAAGGGGAUUCUUUUAUUCUGCAUAAUUUCAUUUUCGUUGAUUAUAUCAUAAAAUAUAACAAUUCCUCUGCUUUUAAAGAUAAAUUUCUAUAUAACAACCCAAGUCAUAUUUUGUGAUGAUUUUCCAAAAGAGUCAACAAAUAAUGAUAAUUCAAAGAAUUUAAAAAAAUAUUGGAAUGUCAAUAUGGAAAAGGAAUAUUUAGUCGGUAUAUUUUCUAUAUUUUAUUUUGUUUUUAUUCAUGUGUCUUAUUUAUGAUAUGUUUGUUAACGAAUUUUUCUUUCUAAUGUUUUGUGUUUUAGAUAUUAUUGACGAAAUUGUGAAUGUUGAACCUUUAAAAUAUCUCAUUGAAGAAGGAAAAUAUUUAACUACUAUUUGUGACACAAUGUAAAUUUUAUUCAAAGUUUAAUUUAAUUUAACAUUGUUAUAUUUUUAUAACAUGACACUAAUUUAAAUUUUUUUAAUAUUUAGCAAUACAUGUUUAACAUGCACAUUGGGUCUUGAUAUGCAAGUAUCAGAUUUCUUUAAAAUGAUCAUGAAAAUCAAUGUGGUAUGUAUUAUUGAGUUUUAUUCAAGUUAUCUACAUAGUUCUGUGGCCAAGAACAUGUACUAAUAAAAUAAAGAUUUUUUUUCAGAUUGAGUGUGUUUGCACUUAAACCAUUUUUUUAAAUUAGACUCUUUAAUAUUAAAAAAAUUAUGUUAAAUUAAGAUUCAAUUUCUAAAUAGAAGAAUCAUCUAUAAACAAUACAUAAAAAAAUUUCACACAAUAAACAAUUGAGAUUUGGUUAAAAAUACCAAAAACACACAAAAGAAAUAAUAUUUAUAUCUAAUUAAAUACAUUAGCAUAAAUAUAAAAAUAAUAUUCUCUCCGUUACAAAAUGAUACAUGUUUUAGCUUUUUCACACGGAUUAAUAAAAUAUACUUCCUUAUGUUUCAUAAUAAGUGUCAUUUUAACAUUUUUGUUGUCAUAAAAAACGUCACUUUACAAUUCCAAAGAAAAUUAUACUUGUUUUCACCUGAAAAUUAUUAAAAAACUGCAUUGAUUUUAUAAAUAUAAUUUUAUUUAUCUCAAAUACUAUUGGCCAGAGAGGUAUAAUUAAUAACAACUUACAUAUAUUCCGUCACUUUCUUAAUUUGUAUGAAAAAUAUCAUAAUAACACUUAUUUAGAAACAGAGGGAGUAUUAAAUUUCAAUAUUAAUUGCAUAAUUUUUUGUGAUUGUCUAUUUCCUAUAAUUUUAAACCAAUAAAAAUUUAGAAAAUACAAUUAGUUUACAAUUAGUCAUUAUUAGUUGUUAAAAAAGUGCAUUGGAAAUUAAAAAAAUCUAUCAUUUUGAAAUUUUUUUUUUUUAAAUAUGUAUCUUUUUGAAAGAGAUAGAGUAUUAAAAUAAAAUUAUUAAAAAAUAUAUAUUAGCUCGCUUUGCUUCGCACAAAGCUAGCCCACACCUGGUAAAAAAAUGAUUAAAAGGGGAAGAAACAAAAAAGGAGAGCUUAAAAGGACUUAUUGAAUCGACAAGUCCCGAUCGUGAGUUAAGAGAUAGGCUUGAAGAUAUGCGAGGCAUUUAUGACGCGUGGAUAACACGUUUCCAUCAGUCGAUCACACAGUCAUACUCUUUUUGUCAAGGCAAUAUGAAUCCUUCUGUUUUUUGAUUAAACAUGAGAAGUGUCCAGGCCGAAGCCCAGCUAAUUAUAUUCAUGUGGAUUGGUCCAUCGUGGUCGUCUAAUAGUUUUUACUUCUGUUUCGUAGGUGUUUUCUUUAAGGUGGUGUGGUCUUUUCCAUCUUCAAGCUUGUGUUUCUCGCACUUAUGCGGACAAGGGAGCAGUGAGAAGUUCGAUGUUAUUUUUAUGCGUACGUGGUUUGAUGCGGGUUUGUAAUCUCGUGUGUGAUUUGAUUCUUAGCCUGCUUGACCUAUCCUUUUCGGUUUGUUUUUACUGUUUUUAUCAUGUCUCCCACGGGAUAUGGUCUCUAAGGACUUUAAUGUAGUCCGUUGGCGUAGAAUCGAACCUAUGUAUCCAGGGUCGGCUCAAGAAAAUUAUGGGCCCUUGGACAAAAUAGUUUUUCAAAAAAAAAAAUUUACAUAUACUUUAUGGAUAACAUAAAAAUUUUGGGUU